GGGGAUGUGGCUCACUUGGUAAAGCGUUUGCCUAGCAUGCACAAAGCCCUGGGUUCAAUUCUCAGCACCG
rnacentral:tRNA from 1 species